UACGGAGGAUGCGAGCGUUAUCCGGAUUUAUUGGAUUUAAAGGGUGCGUAGGCGGAUUUUUAAGUCAGCGGUAAAAUGUCCGGGCUCAACCCGGGCCGGCCGUUGAAACUGGGGAUCUUGAGUGGGCGAGAAGUAUGCGGAAUGCGUGGUGUAGCGGUGAAAUGCAUAGAUAUCACGCAGAACUCCGAUUGCGAAGGCAGCAUACCGGCGCCCGACUGACGCUGAGGCACGAAAGCGUGGGGAUCGAACAGG
rnacentral:rRNA from 1 species